UUCUUUACUGGAUCAAAAGAAUUCUAAUUCCAAUUCCACAACUAAACCCUGAUAAACGGGUCUACACGCGGAUCUAAUAUGGGUCAAAAAUUAAAAUCGGGUCAAGCAGAAAUAUGAAACACAGGCAUUCUCUCUCCAUCCCGAUCGCUCCUUCUCCACCAUCUUUCCUACUCCAACCUAACCUCUCCCACUACGGUCUCCCUCUGCCUUCCGUUUCUGUGGAUUGUAGUCGACAAUUUUGUUGGCGAGCACGCCUUGAGGUAGGCUAACCUUCAAGAGUCAGAGAGACGGAGAUCUGUUGUGCAUAUGCAUCUUUUUGGGUUUAUCUAAAUUCGUCCCUAUCAGUUGUCCCUAUCAGUCCCUAUAAUCAUGCGACUGAAUAUGAGUUGGCCUUUCGGCCCCAUAAUCUUAUAAUCCUCUUUCUAGGUUCUUUCCUUCAGCUUUUCUGCUUUCCCCAAAUUUUAGACACAUUUAGGGCUUGUGAAAGGUAACUUUAUCUUUGAAAUUUUUUCAAUUAAUCAUUGGUUAUGGGCUUUAUUACAUAGCUUUUUUUCAUUGAAUACAUUGCAAUGAUUUGUUCUGUUUUCAUUUCUAUUUUUUCUUGUGAUGAGUGCUAAUUCACCAUCUUGCUCUGUUAUCUCUGUGUUUUAGGAUGGAGAUGGUAGUCUUGGAAGAGGGUUUAUGAUUGUAGUGUUUUCUAGUUUUUAGUUCAAUAAGAAUGAGCAGGUAGCACUUGUGAAUGUGAUAGCCCGUUUCCCGACUUUUUUUCCUGUUGCAAUGCGCUACACAUCAAUGAUAUCUGCUCUUUUUUUUUUUUGGGUUACAGAGAUAUCUGCUCUUACAUUAGUAGCUCUCUAAGUUCUAGUGGAGGUGCUUGAUUCCAAAUGGGUUUUGACUGAGUUGGAGUUGAAUAUGAAAUCAUGUGAAGUCUGUAUAGAAGAAAUUCUAAAGGCUUAAUAGCCAAAUACAUCAAAAGUUAAUUUUUUUUCAAAAAGAUUGUAGUGUUUUCUGUGUCUAAUGGUAUAUUGUGGCAUUAAUUUAAAUAUUAAUCAAUUCCCUAGUUGAUUUUUCAUCUCAUGUAAAUUGUCAAGACGUUUGCUUCAUGGUCUUUAUUUCUAUAAGCAUGAGCUACUGUUGAUUGGGAUUCUUGAUGUCAAUUAGUAAUUAUAUAUCCUGAAUAAUUAUUAACUAUCCAGUUAUUAGUUUGGUGCAAUAAACUGAGAUACUUUGUAUGGGUGGCAACGUUUACUGAUUAAGUGCUAGUUAAUUGUUCCUGAAAUGGUUGCUUGUCUUCAGUUUUUGCAUGCUUUAUGGUAAAAGCAUGCAUUAGUUAUUCACAAAUAUUCAGAAUACCUUGAACACCAAUCUGCUUAUGCGCUAUAUGCUAGUAUAUUGGUUUUCUACUAAGUUACACAAGCUGAGUGGGAAAAUUUUUGGACUGAAGAGCAAAGGAAGAUUAUUCCUUUUUGUUUUUGUAUUCUGUUGAGAAGGUAGGUUUCAACCUCUUGAUCAGUGUCUGGCUCGUGAAUACCGGAUAUUCUUGAUUUGCAUUUCUAAACAAGUGUAAUGAUUUCUGUGAGGUGUUCAUGCGAGAUUGGUAGACAAGGACUUUGCUCCAAAGGUAUCUAUUAAUCUAUGUUAUAAAUGUCAAUUUUCUUGGGAGGCGCUGAACAUUAGAUGAGAAUGAUAUUAAGAAACAAGAGGAAAAGCUAGAGGCAGGUGCUUCCUUUAUUGGAUGAAGUUGAUGCUGAGAUGCGAAGAGUACAACAUGGGUUGAUGAAGAUGAAAUGGAAAAUGAAGAAGAGGAAGAUGGAAUGGAAGAUAAUGGUCCAAAUAAUGAUGGUGGCAUAAAUGCUAUUAAUGAGGAAUCGAACAAGGGAGUGGACACAAUUUUGGAAUGCUCUAGCACGAGCAAUGAUUGUUGACUAUCAAAUUAGACAAAGCUAUUAUGCAAGUUGAAGUUUGAUAGGAACUUAUUCAGACUUAAUUGAAUAUUCGAGUGGCCAUUUACUAAAGAAUAGUAGUAAUGUAUAAUUGUGCUUUUCUUUCGCA